GCUUACCCAUAUAGGUCUUUGAUUCAUCUGGAAAAAUAAUUCUUCUUCUCCUAAAGUUAUAGGUGGCUCGUGAGAUUCUUUGAUAUUUAUACUAACUCAAAACUCCCACAUGAUUCAUAAAAAGGGAAGAAAUGUCAAAGAACAGGCAGGUUACCUGCUGGAGGGAUCACUGUUAAAGUUUUCUGAGUUUUCCACUUUUUCCUCCUCUUCCUCCUCCUUUCCCUCCUACAGACCUGGGUGAGCUUUGGUUCCUAAUCAUUGGGCACAGACUGUGCAGCCUGGAGGAUCAGAAUGGUUGUGGGGCCCACGAUUUGAGCUGGGUGUGUGUGUGGGUGGGGUGGGGGGGCUUAUAGGGGAGAGGGCACUAAAUAACAGCAGCUGAGAUUCAGGAACGGUAAUAGUCCGAUUCAGCAGGAGUCCUAUAAUAGCUACUAAUAAUAUCUAGCUACUAAGGAGAAAACGAACAGGGGAGGGAAAGAACAGAAUAUAUUGAACAAGAGGUGAAAAUGGGAGUUCCUAAGGGUAAGCUGAUUACCCGGUACUAUUGCACCGUCUGAUUAAUGCCUUGUGUCCAUCUGGAAAUAAGUCUCGUCUCUCCUCAUCCAGCUGAUUGCUGAGCUGCAAACACAAGGAUUAAGCACGUAGGGAGGGCUGGGAAGCAGGGCGUCGAUGGCAAUGGGGGUGGAUCUUCUUUCUGCCGCUGCCAUUUUUAGCCAGGGACCACAUGGUGGCAAUGUUGUAUCGUUCCUUGCAAAACCUUCACCCGCCGCUGGGCUCCAGGUAAAUUCAAUUGCUAAGCAAUAAAUUGGGAGACACAGGACCGUGUUGGUUUAACCAGCGAACAUUAUACUUGUAUUUGGUACCACUGAUUGUGUUUUCCAUGAUAAAAUAUAGCAUACUCCAAGAAAAGUAAUACAUUUUCACCCCUUGUUAGAACACUCUUGUAAUUCAAGCAAAUAACAAAUGCAGACAAGAGUCUGAAUUCCAGCAUAUAGGCUCAGUUUUCCCCAAGAUCGAACUAAUUAGUUUUAUUCCAUCCAGCCAACACCUGUUUGAGAAGAACAUUUAGUGUCAUAAAACAAACCACCCACCAAGAAAUACGGAAACUGUGAAAGGCCCACAUACCAACAUCAUGUUGCCAAGCUCAGCUCCGAAGCAGAGUCUUACAACCUACCCUGCUGGGUUUCUUGGAGGAAACUCUAUUUUCUAAUAUAAGCUCCUCCAUAAAAAAAAAUAAAAAUUAAAAAAAAAUUUGGAGUGGUGAAAUGUUUCUAAGCAAACGAUAUUGUUGGGCAUCAUUUCCCUCUUGAGUAGGAAGCGAUCUCUGAGGACAAUUUCGGGGUUGAGUUCUUUGAACCAUUCUUGAGCCCUGGGAGUUCUGACUGUGCCUGGGGGAAAGGGACCAAAUGAAUUAUGAGGCACAAUCAAAUGCUGUGAGGUUUGGAUUCCUGCCAAGUCUGAGGGACUUGGAGGACCUACUGAAUGCCUUGCCACGAUUCCUAAGCUGAGGUUUCAGGUGUUAGAAUUGUUCUAGAAAGGGUUCAAGUGUAAAUGAGUUUCUUUUAUGCAGGGCGUGAGAAAGGAGAGUAUGCCACUGGCUAAGUGGGUCUUAAACCGCCUGGACAAUUUGAUCAAACAGCGUGGGGUGCCCCCACCAUGGAGUUUCUGAUUCCUAGGUCAGGGGUGGGCCCAGGAGCUGCCGUUCUAACAAACUCCCGGGUGUGGUGAAUGCGGCUGGUCUCUGAGAGUCCCUACUCAAGACCCGUGUUUCUCAAAGAAUGGGCAACCGCGUGAUUCUCAUUUUCAUGCCCUGCUUACUGUGUGGAGACACAUGGUCCCCAUGGAAUCAACAGCUUGCUGUAGGACGUGAACCCGCGAGUUUUCAGGCUCCAAAAUUCAGGCGCCGCAUAAACGAGGACAGCAACUUCACCUUCUAGAAUCGCAAUCUGUCCUCCGUAGAACAGGGUUUUCCUCAGAUAAUCAGGAUUUGAAUCCUGAUAAUUACUCUGUGGCUUUGUACAUUACUUAACUACUCUGAGUCUGAUUCUUCAUGGGUUAAAAAAAAGAGGUGUUGGUUUCAGGGUUGUUUUAGAAGGAAAACAUUUACUGUUAAGGAUCUGCUGCUCCUUCCCUCCCUUUUAUUUUUCCUUCUUCAGUUGAUUUCUGUACCCGAAAGCACUUCAUGAAAUAUAAAAUCUCCAAGACACAUUAGUUCAUGGUUUACAGAGGCAUGGCUUGAGGGGAAGCCUCCCUGGGUCUCUUACAUGGUCUGUUCUCAUGGCCAGCCUGGUUAGUUCAGGAAAAUUGUCUGUUUUCUUUCCAUAAUCUCACAUCUGUUUGACCGAAAUCACUGUGCAAACCAGAAGUUUGCAUCAUGUGUAGCUCAGGUUGCUGCUCGGGGAAGCUCUGGUAAUUCCUGGGUCCCUCUCCAGCUUGGUUUGGCCAGCUCUACUUCCCUCCUUCAGCGGCCCUUUUAAAAUAUAUGAAUGAAGACUCAGGAAUUGGACGACUCCAUGGGGGUUGGCUGGGUGAGGAGACCUUUCCAGGGCCCAGGAUAGGCUGGUGCACAAGCAGAACGGACUGACUUUUUUCUGUGGAAUACUGUGUCUACUGGAUGUCAACAAGCCUCAUUAUAAAGUGAAAAAAUACUCGGUCCUACGCAUGUUGAUGGGAAGACAUUAAAGACCUCAUUCCGUGUCUGUCUGUAACAAGUCGUGUAAUCCUUGAGUUAGUCAUUUCCUUUCACUGAGCCUCAGUUUCUCCAUCUACAAAAUGAAGGGUUUGCAUGAGAUUAGGCUUCUUAAGUAGCAGUCUAUAGAUGGGAUUGGUGGGCCACCCCCAAACUCCAAAUCUUGUGAUUGUGCAUUUCAGUGGAGAGAGGGGCCGUAGCUUUUUCUCAGAUUCUUAAAGUGGCACUAGGAAAGCUUAAGAUUUGGUGUUUCUAAAAAUCAUGAAGUCUGGUCUUGCAUCUCUGCACUGCUACAUAACCAUUUCGAAUAGGUUUUUAAUCGCACAAUUAAAAGGGAUCAACUAGCUCUUUCGGUGUGGGAUAGAUACUGUAUAUGCGUCCUACCAUUGAAGGAAAUUAGCCUUUCAAACAACAGUGGGAAAAUGGAAAAAGAUCAGUGGGAAAGGAAAGGAUAGAGACACAAAGUCUCCGUGGUAAAAUGCAGCAGCUGCUUUCACUGUCCACGGACUGCAAGGACUGAGCUUUAUCGGUAUACUUAGAAUUGAUCGGAUUUAAAGCAGUGAAGACUCACCUGUCAAUUCACAUGAGAUUCGCAGAUAAACUCGGACGCCAACGUGAUUGUUUACAAGAGAAAACUCCUGCAUGUGCGUGGGUGGCCCCUGUUCUGGGUGUCGAGCAAUAUUAUUAAUCAGUAGAUGGCUGAGUGCAGAUUCAAAGCAAAAGGAGGCAGAUUCCUUUUGAGGAGUAUUUGCUUGGGGUCCAGCUGAGGUCCCAAUGUGCCAACAUCAUUGAUUGUGGUUCUGGAAGGGCCUCGUAGACUUUUUCCUUUCUCCUAUUCAGCGAUCCCUUUCUGUGGUUUGUUAGUGGGCGCCCUUGUUUCCAAGUUCUUUGUUCACUCCUGGUACUGCUUUAAGCCAAUUAUUUUUGUUAGUGAAAAUAUUCUUAAGGAUCAUCAUGUGCAAACCAAGUUAUGUUGUUGAGAUAUAAGGUGUGCUUUUCUAUUCACAACAAUCUUUACCUUGUUGACCUGUGCUGGAAGAAUCUUGAGUGUCUAACCUUAUGUAACACAAUGGUAGACGUCAUGAUUCUUGAGUUUCCAUUAACUAUUUCAAUGAAACUGAGGCUUUUGUUCAAAUACCUUUUUAUCAGUUGUUCUUAUGAUAAGAGCCUGUAGCUAUAAGGAGUCUCUUACCUCGUUCCUGGCAUCCUCUGGGUUUCCCAAGAGAAGAGUCUGUCUGCUUGUUUCUCUACCAACUUGUCAGGUGAGCAAAUCUCAUAGCGGUUUGGGGAUGAUCAUAUUUAUUCUGUGCAUUCCACACAGGCAUAUGGAGAUCACCAGGACUCUCUGCAGAACCUUGCCCACCCGAGCAGGCAUUUUGUAAAUUAAAUCAGAAGUUGCCAUAGAGUUCUAAAUAUUCUGCCUUCCAAAGGGAAAGGCAGCAUACACUGUGAGUGUGCCUCUUAGCAAGCAAGCCUGAUGUAAAAAAGCAUGCACUUGUACAAAAUAGUCAAGACAUAUUCACUGUUCAAGAUGAUCUCACAAAUUCUCUCCUGGAGUACCUAUAUUGUGAUUUGACUUAUGAAAAAUUAUUGACCCAGAGCCUGUCAGAAACAAAUACACCGUAAACAGUGAAACACAAGCUGGAUUCACGCUGCCUCAUUCUUUGGAUGCCAGUGAUGAUGCAAAAUUAGAGGCAGCAGAUCUCAGUAACUCAGUCCUACAGAAUAGGAUUUGAGCCGCAGUCAGACCCCUCAACCUCUUACUGCCAUACAAUUGUCUACGUACACUUUUAUCAAUGCCAAGCAGGAAGUACACGUGUGAACCGAGUAAGGAUUGCUCUCAGACCCUCAGUCCUCUUUAUCCUUGUUUUCAAUACAGGAUGAUAGCCCCGCCGCAGUUACUCAAGUCGCUGCUUCCCCACAUUCCCUCUCUAUCCUCUGUAACCACCAAUGCCCUAGAAAAGUGGCUAAAUUUAUUUAGAUUUCUCUUACGCAUAAAUGAUUGACCGUGGUUUGAUAUGUGAUCUACCUAUAUGGUGUUUGCAUUUUAACAGAAAAAACAAACAAACAAAAGGAAUACAUUUCUGGCUCCAGAAUUUCAGACCAUAACAAAAUGAUCCAAGGGUGCUGUCAUUAAACCUGGGUCGUUGCCCGUCAGCCCGCUUCUGGAAAUAGUGGGCAGCUGAAGCCAAGAUAACAAAAAAGAUUAGAGGCAACGGAGACCUAGCCAAGUCACAGACCUGGAAGAUGAAAAGAGAUCACUCCAGUUCACGGGGAAGCCCAGAACAGCCACGUUGGAAACAGAUGACCACAUCGCCCCGUUAUAAUGGGACCAUGGUGAACACCUGACCCAAGCUGGGACAGUCAGAGUCUCUUCCCUGGAAAUCAGGGCUGGUUUUUCUUGCUGGUUCAUCUGGAUAAAUAGUAAAAUUUGUCCUGUGUAGGCUUGUAAGCCUACGGACCGUAUUCUAUCCUGUGAAAUGGGGAGAAGGAAAAGGAGGUAGGUGGGCAGGGAAGAAACCUAUGAGCAGAAGGAGUGGAGGGGGAGAAGUUCUGAGAGUUUUUUGGUUUUUGGUUCCUGUCCCUUCAUGGGUCAUGAUUACAUUCCUGCCUUAGAGUUUUUUCUUUCUUUCUGUUGCUGUUGCCGCUGCUUUGCACUUACCAGCAGGAAUUAGUUUCUAUUGCUUGUCACUAAACACACGCUCCGCUCUAUGUACAUUAUCCUCAGGGUCACCAUUAUGGGUUAAAUUGUGUGCCCCCCCCCCCCGCCCCCGCCCCCCACCCCUGGCUGCCAAGUUCACACGUGGAAGUUCUGAUUCUCAGCACAUCACAAUGUGACCGUAUUUGGAAAUAGGGUCUUUAAAGACAUAAUUCGGUUGAAAUGAAAUCGUUUGGGUGGGCUGCACUCCACUACAUCGGGUGUCCUUGUGAGUAGAAGGGAUUAGGACAGACGUACACAGACGGGAGACGGCGUGAGGCGUGAAGACGCAGGGAGAAGGCAGCCAUCUACAAGCCAAAGAGAAAGACCCUUAGGAGAAACUGAAUCUCCUGAUAGUUUGAUCUUGAACCUCCAGCCUCUAGAACGGUGAGAAAAUAAACUUCUGUUGUGGAAGCCUUCUGGGAUGCUUUGUUAUGGUGGUCCCAGUGAACUAAUGCCAGUGCAAUCCAACGUCUGAGACUCUAAUUCCUGCUCCCUCUUCCCCUGACAAAGAAAACUCAAUAAUGCGGUAACUGCUGCUGCUUUUCUUAAUGGUGAUCCUUAAAGACAGCAGCAAAAAGAUCUUUUACUCAGGCUAAAAAGUAAGCCAAUAACUGGCAUUCAAGGACCCUGAAGGACUACAGCUCUAGAGAAAUACAUCUUCUUAAUGCGCUUGUUUGGCUUAAAUUAAAAGUGUUCAGCUUCAUGUCUUCCCAAAGAGAGGUGCCUGCUAAGCUUUAAUUUUGCAUGAGAAAAUGAUUAUUUUUUUAACUAAUUGGAACGAAUGGGAACUCUUUCUUCCAUUUAUUGAAACGCAGGUGAAAACAAAGCGAGUGGCUUUGCAGGAAGUAAAAGGCCUUGCAGAAUCUUCUCACUGUGCUUGAGUUCUGAGCUCCAGUGACUUGGUGAAUGUUGAUGUGUUCUUGAAGAGGAGAGGGAAAAUGGAAGAGGAGUAGGCUGCUGGAGGUCUUUAAUGCAUCAGUUUCGAUGUUCACUGGGUGGUUAGAACUUAAGAUUUUCCAGCAAUAGUCAGUCACAGUCUAGCUCAUUCUGGACGUGCAGGAGUUACAGAAAAAGAAAAAGAAAUAGUAGUUGUCUUUAAAAAACCCUGCUGGCAUAAUGCUUUUCCUUUUAAAUAUUUUGUUAUGAAUAUAAAGAGAGAGAGAGGGAGAGAGCGAGAGUGAGACAGAGAGAGAGACAGACUAUUAAUUGCCUCUUUACCUCCCACAGUCCUGGCUUGGGUGUAAAACAUUCUUCCUGCAUUAAUUAAGGGUUCUGUCUGCUCACCCUGAAAACUUCUGGUUCAAUUACUUAAAAAAAAAAAUAGAAAUGGCACUGAAGACGAAAUUUGUUUUCAUUUUGCAGGCAAAAGGAUGAUAUCCUCAGGGCCUCAUAAUCAGUGUCACCUUCUAAAGGUCAGAUGACCUUUAUCUUUACAGUGAUCUUACCCAAUAUGGAUUCAACAGCAAUUUAUGGGUAGGCGGAGGUUUAUGCAAAACAUUCCAUAAUUUGCAAAGAUUAAUGAAAGAGCCAAGUGUAAGUAUGUUAACUUAACCAGUUGGAAAGCAAGUUUAGCAAAAGGUAGAAACGAGUACAAAACUAACUUUGAGCCUGUUCUAAACUAAACUCAGUAUUCUUCUUUUUUAAAUAGAAAAUUUCUUCUAGGGAGCUCAGCGAAUUUGGCCAAUGCUAUCUCAGUUUCAACACUCAUCUGGAAUCUCUAAUAUACUUGUUUGCUAAAGAACAAUUACAACCCUGAUGUUAGAAAUCAAGGAUGAGGUACGACUAUAGAUUUUCCAUACGAUAGUGGGAGAGAAGUUUUAUGCAUCACUGCGUUCAGGAGGAAAGAAAGUCAAACUUGGAAAUAAACCUAAACAGAUCCUCUCUGUGAGCAUAAAGAAGGCAACGGAAAGCAGGUGUUAUCCCGGGAGGGUUGUUCUCGAACUUUUGGGUUUCACUGACUUAUUGAGCGCUGGGGCUUGGGGGACGAGUAACCUCUUAUUUUGCCGGCAUGAAAACCUAUCCUCUACUAAGCACCCUAACGCAUGAAAGAGGGUUUCACACGAGGUAUAGGAAGGACCUUGCGGCAGGGCUGCUGCGCAGGCCACAAAAGCUGGACUACAUUUCCCAGCUGCCUUGCCGGUGACCGCUGGGCGAGGCGGAAGUGAGGGUCUGCGCUUGCUCUCCCGGUCCGGAAAUCCCCCCCUCCACCUUCCUUUGCACGUGUUCAGCAGAUGCCCAGCCUCCCGCUAAGGUCCCGAAGCUCUAGUCCGGGCUGUUUCGGGGGAGGCAGGAACCUGUGUGCCGGAAUGGCCAGUGCCGACCCAGAACAUCUUCACUCUGUUGGACUCCAAGUGAGCCAGCGCGGAGCUGAAACUCAGACUAUAAGGAGGGGGGACACUGGCCGGUGAAGCGGCGUCCCCCUCUCUGGGAGCCUGAUGAGGCUCAUUCUGGGAAAGCGGGGGAAAAAAACCUGGAAAGUGGAGCCAGCUGCUUCCAGAAUCAGCUGCAUCCUCCAGAUCUUCGAAGACCAGACCCUAUGCUAGACUGCUGGUGUCUACCAGGCACAGUGAUGCAAGAGCCAGAGCCAUGCAUGUGUUCCGUACCCUGUUGGUAAGUUGUGGUUGGCGGGGGCGUUGGUUUUGAUGGAGAGGGAGCCCAGAUGCCAUUUUGGAGUUUGGUGGAGAUCAUCAUGGGUUCCUAUUUCUAUUCCCAACGUUUUAAACACCAGUUCAAACAUCAUUUAUUGUAACACGCCCUGAUAACUAAAUUCCUAUGGCAUGCUGAGGACGAGGAGGACUGUUCACAGCUGGAGGGGUCUGCAGCUCCCCCGGGCACCAGCCGGUGUGGAGGGGGCAGGCACCCCCUGAAAACACCGGUAAGUCAUUUGCAGCACACAGUGUGCCCUGGCUGGACUUGGGGAGCUCUGGGUUGGAGCGCAGGGGGUAAAUUUUAACCCUUUGCCUGCUGCUCUCUUGUUUGUGCUGUUUCUCUGUCCCACGACUUCAUGGCCUCGGCCCCUCUCCCUGUGGCCUCACUGCUGCCAUGCGGAGUGUGUCUGUUCUAAACACAGCAUGCUGCUUUCAGUGUGUCAAGUGUUUGAGCUCCGACGGGUUGUCUUUGAAGUGGCCCUUGCCGGCCCCCAUCUUUCAUCAGUGUUCAGACUGUGGAAGCUGUAUCACGUCUCUGCUGCCUUUUAGCCACCCCUCUGUACUACAGGUUCUGUUUGGGGGGCAGAAUUCCCUGUUUAUGAAAGACCACGCUUCAGUCAUCUUUCAAUUAAACUUAAUAAGAAAAACAGACCUCAAAUUCUACUUGGAGGGAAAGGGCAUUUGAAUCUAGAGAGGCUAGAGGUUCAGGGAAACAGUUGGUUUGAGUAAGGUCACAGAUUAAUUAGAAGUGGGCUUAAUUAAAGCUGCAUAAGCAUCUGGACGACUUUGCCAACAAAGGGGAUCAUCUGGGUGUCUUUGAACGGUCUCUUUCUCUGCUGGGUGCUCGUUCUCUGGGUUGGGCCUUGGUUCCAGCUGCUGUGAGAGACUCCUGUGCCUGAAAGUCUUUCCAAGUCAAUUACACAGGCUUCUCUAUGGCUGGUUAGUUCAGUUAGAGCACUGUUCUAACGCAGUGCGGGCCAAUCCCCACGUGGGCCCUUAGUUUUAGUCUGGUCUACAUUUCUGACUGUGUAUUUCCUCCUGUGGGGAGAGAACACACUACGUGGGCAUGGAGUGGAUGUAGGCUUUGGGGUGAGUACUCACGUCCCAACCAUCUGUCUCCUUUCUUCCUUUGAGGCAGGCAUGGCUCCACGUACCGUUUGAAUUACAGAGGUGUUCAGCCAGUGUGUCCCUGUAGGGAACUGGAUGUAAGACCUUUGUGAAUGAAUUGGCCUCCGAUGAGAGGACCACAGGGCAUGCUUUCAGGGCAGCCACACUCAUCCUUUUCUUCCUGAAAUCCUGUUCUCUGCCUGGCUACCAUCUGGAAAGCAGCUGAUGAACUAAUUCAUACCAAGUUGGCAACGACCAAUCAUGGCUUAAAGUGUGACUUGUAUUAGAAGUGCUUAUAUUUUUGACAAGGAAUAUACACUUUUUUUUUUUCCCCUAAACCAGUGGUUUUAAACCAUUAUGAAGAUGUAUUUAGGGUUGGGUGACCAACCAUCCCAGUUUGCAGGGAGCUGAGGGGUUUCCAGGAUUUGGGGGGUUUAGUGGUGACACACACCAGUUCCUGGGCAAACUGGGAUGAGUUGGUCACCCUAAUCUAGGUUUUCUAGGAGAGGUGAGGGUAUGAGGGGAGUUGUCUGGUGAGGACCGCUGAACACAGAGCUUGGGGUCCUAGUCUCAGUUUCAGUCAAAAGAGCAACAAUUUUUAUAUGUUUUACAUUUUGAAGUUGUGGGUAAGAUUUCCCCUGAAAGGCAUUUGAGAAGCCUUGC